rnacentral:rRNA from 1 species
AGUCGGAAUCGCUAGUAAUCGCAAAUCAGAAUGUUGCGGUGAAUACGUUCCCGGGCCUUGUACACACCGCCCGUCACACCAUGGGAGUGGGCUGCAAAAGAAGCAGGUAGUUUAACCUUCGGGAGGACGCUUGCCACUUUGUGGUUCAUGACUGGGGUGAAGUCGUAACAAGGUAGCGCUAGGGGAACCUGGCGCUGGAUCACCUCCUUACACGA